rnacentral:rRNA from 1 species
AACGAACGCUGGCGGCAGGCCUAACACAUGCAAGUCGAGCGCGCCUUCGGGUGAGCGGCGGACGAGUGAGUAACGCGUGGGAAUAUGCCCUUCUCUACGGCAUAGUCCUGGGAAACUGGGGGUAAUACCGUAUACGCCCUUUGGGGGAAAGAUUUAUCGGGGAAGGAUUAGCCCGCGUUGGAUUAGGUAGUUGGUGGGGUAAUGGCCUACCAAGCCGACGAUCCAUAGCUGGUUUGAGAGGAUGAUCAGCCACACUGGGACUGAGACACGGCCCAGACUCCUACGGGAGGCAGCAGUGGGGAAUCUUAGAAAAUGGGGGCAACCAUGAUCUAGCCAUGCCGCGUGAGUGAUGAAGUCCGUAGGGUUGUAAAGCUCUUUCAGCUGGGAAGAUAAUGACGGUACCAGCAGAAGAAGCCCCGGCUAACUCCGUG